GUCCCGGCCCUCCUCUAUGUGGGAGGCGGUCACUGUCGCCGCUGCCAGAAGCAGGUGGGAUCACUCUAUAACUGAGAUCUACAAUACGGUCAUGCCCACUGAGAGCACUGACUGAUCACAGCAUAGAACGUGCAGUAGAUCCGCCUCCAUGCAGUGCUUGCUGGGAAGCGGUUUGAAUCCGUGGCGGUUCGGGGCCACACCGUCGCAUUCUUACCCUCUGUAGCAGUGUAUGAACAAUCACCGCUGCCCCCACACCGUGACCCGUCCCUGCCACGCUCAGCAUGGAAUCGGCGGAAAGGCAGCAGCGUGGGUCGCUUGACGCCAGUAUUCUGUCCCAUGCGCAGGAGGACCCGGAGCUGGCACAGAAAUAUGAGAAGUCGGUUUGAUACAUCUCUCCUGGAACAUGAAAGAAAACACACCUGGAGGGUAUACAGGACCACACCUGUGUCUUUUGGCAUAAUAUUUUAGUAAUCAAUAUGGAGAACAGCAUACUGUCAUGGUAGAGACAAGGAACCAUAUUAGCAGGUUUAGGACAUAAUGAGGCAAGAACAAUAACCUGAAUCAUAUGGAAAUGAGAAAUUGCUGUAAGCAGAAAGACUGCUGCAGUUACUACAAGCAACCACUGCCUGCAAGAGAUCUAUAGAUAAUCUCCAGCAAAACAUUUUCUACCAUAGUUCAGUUACUUACUAUCGUGUGGUGGCGGUGUGGAGAAACUCACGACCUGUUAACGUACUUUCCCGUACUUCGUGACCAUAUGAACAAACUUUGAGGACAGUUUUAUAUACGGGCUGUAACUACGUCGUGUGUCGAGCACAUAGGCACUGUCUGUGGAGAACCGGAACACACAUCUCCCCCCCGUCACCUCCUGCAUCUACCGCAAAGUCGCAAACCGGCCAACCGACCAGCACCCGAGAUCGCUGCCGCUGGCCGCCCGACUGCGGCUGGCCUGUAUCCCUGAAGGGUGUCCUUUCUGUCAACUCAGCUCUUUGCUCCAGAGCUCUGCCUUCCGUGUAGGAGGGAGAGUCCGCAGCAGCGGUAUGGCUGCGCUUACUGGUAUUGGUGUAGAUGAGCAGCUUGCUGGCUACUCCCGUCACAAAGGCCUCCUUCAGGAACUGAGCAUGGAAUUAGAAUGGAUCUCUUCCAGAAACCUUGGAUGAGAUGACAGAGUUAUUGGUGGAUCUGGUCAGGAUCCCGGCAGUCGAGAUCCCGUGAGUAGAAAUACCAACGCUGGAAUAACGACACUACUUGGAAUGCCGAUGCCGGCAUCCCGAAUAUUGUGACAAGGUGAAUGAGCCCCUCAGAAACUGCCAGCUCGACACCUAUUCCAAGAUCAACAUCUGUUCCAACAAGUUCAGUACUGUAUGUAUGCCACUAGCAACUUGUAUCAGCAAUGACAAGGAAUUCAGCUUUUCAAACAUUACCUUUUCACGUGGAAUGUACUUCACAUAUUUUUCUGUGUGUAUUUCCUGAAAUGUACUGAAAUAAAUAACUGAUUUUAAUAA